UGAAUUGUUUUUGUUAGGUUUAGCCCCAUUAUUUGACAAAAAUACUUGAGCGCGUAGCUGAGAGGAAAUAAAUAAAGCUUUAAAAGGCUUCAUCAUCGUCUGUCUCGUUGUAAGUUCCAACUAACUAGGGUCAGGUUUUUGCCCAUUCCUAACAGCUUCACUACACUUCCUUCCCUUGCCAUUUUCUCGGGAUAAUUUCCCCUUUUUAUCGAGAAUUUUGAGCAUGGCUAGGUCUGCCAAAGGCCACCAAGAAGAAUUGGACGACGACGACGAAGAACACUUCACUGCCGACACCUCUUCUCCUCACAAAGUGAAGUUGGAUGAAUCAAAUAGUGGGAAGAGGGUGAACCCUCAUCGUUCGAAGCAUUCAGAGACCGAGCAGCGUAGAAGGAGUAAGAUUAAUGAAAGGUUUCAGGUUCUGAGAGAUCUUAUUCCUCAAAAUGAUCAAAAAAGAGAUAAGGCUUCCUUUUUGUUGGAGGUUAUUGAGUAUAUUCAGUUUCUGCAGGAAAAACUGCAAAUUUAUGAACAGACUUGUGAAGGAUGGAAUCAGGAACCAACGAAAUUAAUCCCAUGGAGAGGUCAUCAUGGACCUGCAGAAAAUAAGGCAGAUACUUCUCAAGCUAUGCAAAAUGGAUCUGCUCACGAAAAAAAUGAUGUCUCUCCAUUAUUGCCAAAAAAUGUACAGAACCCAAUAGAGUCUGACUUGUCAACAACAACUAUCCAAAAGGGCCACACCAUUGGUUCAGCUGUAGAAGCAGUUCCAAUGGGCAUGCAAAUGAGACUGGAUGCAUUUGACCCAGUUGUAAGCAGCAGUAUGCCAAACCAACGUCUGCAUCAACCUAUAUCUAAUGCUGAUAUGUCCUUCCAAAUCCAGCCCCAAGUUUUGUUUAGUAAACCAAGCAGCGGCAACUAUAUGGUUUCGGAUAAUGUGUUGAUGGAACAUGAAGAGCUGACGAAUGAAAGUGAAUCACAAAGCAUUUCAAAUGCGUACUCGCAAGGAGUAUUAGAUACUCUUACACAAGCUCUGCAGUCUUCAGGAGUGGAUCUGUCUCAGACUAGUGUCUCAGUGCAAAUUGAUGUUGGUAGAAGAUCAAAUCCGGGCUUUAUCCCUUCUGCAUCUAGCUCAAAGGUGUAUGGAAACCAGUUUGUGACCAAUAGAGUUAAUUACUGCAGUGAAGACUCUGAUCAAAGUCUAAAGAGGCUGAGAAGAGAUGCCACCUAAGGGUGCCCACCCCCCACGUUUAUUGUCUUGUUUCUUGUCUUUAGCUUAGGCGAAAUGGGAAGAAGGAUUAGAUUGGAUCGCAUCAAUUUUUGCUAUGCUGGUUAAUUCUGGAGAUGUGUUAAAUACAUAUGUGUGUGUGCACUUCCACUUGAUUUUGCGAUUGAAUGGAAAAUAUUUUAUAUUUUGCUUUCAGCAGAAUGUAUUAUGAGUUCAAUUUGUACGUUCUAUCAGUACAGACAAAUGUUACAAAUGUUAAUAAUUAAACAAUAGAAAUAAGUUGCUCCAA